GAUGAACGCUGGCGGCGUGCCUAAUACAUGCAAGUCGAGCGAACGGAUGAGAAGCUUGCUUCUCUGAUGUUAGCGGCGGACGGGUGAGUAACACGUGGAUAACCUACCUAUAAGACUGGGAUAACUUCGGGAAACCGGAGCUAAUACCGGAUAAUAUUUUGAACCGCAUGGUUCAAAAGUGAAAGACGGUCUUGCUGUCACUUAUAGAUGGAUCCGCGCUGCAUUAGCUAGUUGGUAAGGUAACGGCUUACCAAGGCAACGAUGCAUAGCCGACCUGAGAGGGUGAUCGGCCACACUGGAACUGAGACACGGUCCAGACUCCUACGGGAGGCAGCAGUAGGGAAUCUUCCGCAAUGGGCGAAAGCCUGACGGAGCAACGCCGCGUGAGUGAUGAAGGUCUUCGGAUCGUAAAACUCUGUUAUUAGGAAAGAACAUAUGUGUAAGUAACUGUGCACAUCUUGACGGUACCUAAUCAGAAAGCCACGGCUAACUACGUGCCAGCAGCCGCGGUAAUACGUAGGUGGCAAGCGUUAUCCGGAAUUAUUGGGCGUAAAGCGCGCGUAGGCGGUUUUUUAAGUCUGAUGUGAAAGCCCACGGCUCAACCGUGGAGGGUCAUUGGAAACUGGAAAACUUGAGUGCAGAAGAGGAAAGUGGAAUUCCAUGUGUAGCGGUGAAAUGCGCAGAGAUAUGGAGGAACACCAGUGGCGAAGGCGACUUUCUGGUCUGUAACUGACGCUGAUGUGCGAAAGCGUGGGGAUCAAACAGG
rnacentral:rRNA from 1 species